CACAUGCAAGUCGAGGGGCAGCAUUUCAGUUUGCUUGCAAACUGGAGAUGGCGACCGGCGCACGGGUGAGUAACACGUAUCCAACCUGCCGAUAACUCGGGGAUAGCCUUUCGAAAGAAAGAUUAAUACCCGAUGGUAUAAUUAGACCGCAUGGUCUUGUUAUUAAAGAAUUUCGGUUAUCGAUGGGGAUGCGUUCCAUUAGGCAGUUGGUGAGGUAACGGCUCACCAAACCUUCGAUGGAUAGGGGUUCUGAGAGGAAGGUCCCCCACAUUGGAACUGAGACACGGUCCAAACUCCUACGGGAGGCAGCAGUGAGGAAUAUUGGUCAAUGGGCGCAGGCCUGAACCAGCCAAGUAGCGUGAAGGAUGACUGCCCUAUGGGUUGUAAACUUCUUUUAUAUGGGAAUAAAGUUUUCCACGUGUGGAAUUUUGUAUGUACCAUAUGAAUAAGGAUCGGCUAACUCCGUGCCAGCAGCCGCGGUAAUACGGAGGAUCCGAGCGUUAUCCGGAUUUAUUGGGUUUAAAGGGAGCGUAGGUGGACAGUUAAGUCAGUUGUGAAAGUUUGCGGCUCAACCGUAAAAUUGCAGUUGAUACUGGCUGUCUUGAGUACAGUAGAGGUGGGCGGAAUUCGUGGUGUAGCGGUGAAAUGCUUAGAUAUCACGAAGAACUCCGAUUGCGAAGGCAGCUCACUGGACUGCAACUGACACUGAUGCUCGAAAGUGUGGGUAUC
rnacentral:rRNA from 1 species